UACAGAGGUCUCAAGCGUUGUUCGGAUUCAUUGGGCGUAAAGGGUGCGUAGGUGGCGCCGUAAGUCAGGUGUGAAAUUUCGGAGCUUAACUCCGAAACUGCAUUUGAUACUGCGGUGCUUGAGGACUGGAGAGGAGACUGGAAUUUACGGUGUAGCAGUGAAAUGCGUAGAGAUCGUAAGGAAGACCAGUGGCGAAGGCGGGUCUCUGGACAGUUCCUGACACUGAGGCAACGAAGGCCCAGGGGAGCAAACGGG
rnacentral:rRNA from 1 species